CACAAUAUUAUAAACAAAAUUAAAAACCUCGACAGCCUGGUAAAUCUUCAAGAUCUUGAUCUUUCUUUUAACCGAAUAAAAAAAAUGGAAAUCUAAAUAAAUUAAUAACAAGAUUUUGUGAAUAAAAUUUAUCUUUUAGGUUUUAUAUUUAAGAAAAUUUUUAAAUCUGAGAACUGUAAAUAUCACAGGAAACCCUUGCAUUUUACCAGACAAUUAUGAUAAUUAUCUUGUUGCUUACAACCUCAAGUGAUUUAUUUUUCGUAUGUCUUAAUCAGCAAAGAAGAAAGAAAUGACGCCAUCAAAAAGUACAGACAAGCAAUUAUUAAAGUUGAAGAAGUCGAAUUAAAAAUUAAAAUAAAAAUGGAUAAACAACAGAAAGUAAAUA